CCUACGGGAGGCAGCAGUGGGGAAUAUUGGACAAUGGGGGCAACCCUGAUCCAGCCAUGCCGCGUGUGUGAAGAAGGCCCUCGGGUUGUAAAGCACUUUCAGUGAGGAAGAACGCCUGGUGGUUAAUACCCAUCAGGAAAGACAUCACUCACAGAAGAAGCACCGGCUAACUCCGUGCCAGCAGCCGCGGUAAUACGGAGGGUGCGAGCGUUAAUCGGAAUUACUGGGCGUAAAGCGCGCGUAGGUGGCUUGAUAAGCCGGUUGUGAAAGCCCCGGGCUCAACCUGGGAACGGCAUCCGGAACUGUCAAGCUAGAGUGCAGGAGAGGAAGGUAGAAUUCCCGGUGUAGCGGUGAAAUGCGUAGAGAUCGGGAGGAAUACCUGUGGCGAAGGCGGCCUUCUGGACUGACACUGACACUGAGGUGCGAAAGCGUGGGUAGCAAACAGGAUUAGAUACCCUGGUAGUC
rnacentral:rRNA from 1 species